AGACGAACCGGGCGAACGUUAUUCGGAAUCACUGGGCUUAAAGCGUGCGUAGGCGGCUUGGCAAGUUGGGUGUGAAAGCCCUCGGCUCAACCGAGGAACUGCGCCCAAAACUGCCAGGCUUGAGGGAGAUAGAGGUGAGUGGAACUAAUGGUGGAGCGGUGAAAUGCUUUGAUAUCAUUAGGAACACCGGUGGCGAAAGCGGCUCACUGGGUCUCUUCUGACGCUGAGGCACGAAAGCUAGGGGAGCGAACGGGAUUAGAAACCCUAGUAGUCC
rnacentral:rRNA from 1 species